AAACAAAACAUACAUAUAUAUAAGUUGUCAUCCAUCAACAGUAUCACACAGGGGUUUUUCUUAAAAAGGCCCGAGCAUACUAAAUUCUUUUGUGAUCUUAAAAGUCCGACUGCAGUCUAAGUUCUUGGUGUAUCCUGUCAUGUCUGAGAAUCUAGUGUACCUUGAAGGUGGCCACCUUCAACAGUACCCUCGCCGGCCAACCUCUAGAUGGCUCACGACUCUUGUGCACCACGAUCCGAAUUGAAGCGUUUUGGCGUAGCCAAAACCAACAAACGAAUAUCCCCAACAGACAAAUAUCUCCAACAGACAAAUAUCUCCAACAGGCAGGUCUCGAAAACAAACACUUUAUGGCGUGACAACAACUUUAAAAGGGAAUGAUCACAUAUUCAUUUUUGAGAAAAAGGUAUUUCAUAACUUCAAAACAUUUGCUUUAUAUCCACACUAUAGUGCUGGAUAUUAAAAGAAAGCCCACCUGGUAUGCUUAUCUCCGAUUAAAAAUCCUCAUUUGGCCUCACUUGCCCUUGAAUAAACUCUCCUUUAGAAAUAAAUAGCGUAACACGCUAAUUAGUACUUGAACUAUUUUUCUGAAAAAGAAUGCAUGCAUCCUACAUGAUAGCACCUACGUCUUAGUCUCGGCUUUUAUAGGAUUUUUCUUAAGGCCGCCCAUGGCGUCGCGGGGCGACGCCGGUCGGCCCUUCGCGUCUCAACUUUAAUAUUUUCCAUCUUCGUAAACUCAAUAAUUUAUUCGGGAAUUAAUUUAAUUAAGCUCCAAGCUCAAUUCCUUAAAUUAAUUCCACUCCAACAAUAUUUAAUUUCCAAGUCUACUAGUUUAAUUAAGUAGCCAAAUCCAACAAAAUCUCUCGGCCCAAAUCUUAAUUAAGUAAAUGACCCCAUGGUCCAUUUCAUCAAUUAAAUGAGGCCGCCCAUUUGUUUCCUUAAUUCAAUUCUAGGCCUAAUACCUUUUAAUUAAAUAAAGUGGCCAAUUAUACUCCUCUUCAUCCAUCGUAAAAUUCUUCCCCAAAUUCUCUUCCAGUCCUUAAUUGAAGAACAGCAGUAAGGUCUCUCGGCCCUCUCUCUCUUGCCCCUCAAAUUCCUCUCCGGCGAGUUCGCCAUCUCUCCCGCGUCGCCGGAGCUCGCCCUUUUUUUUUUCAAAUUCGAAAAUCCCCAAAUCGAUCGAGAACAGCGGAGGUUCCUUCUCCGCCAAAAUCCUCUCCUCCGUUCAAUUUUUCCGGUGGAGUGGUCGAGGUGCUGAGCCAGCUCUUGUGCCGAACUCUACUCCGCGCAACAGCUCCUUCCGUCGUGCGCCCCUCGCCGUUCACCGCUCGCUCCCUCCGCUGUCUCGCGUUCGCAGCCGACGCCGUGCCGUCGCCAUGCUUCUGCGACGGACUCUUAUCGACGUCGGCACCCGCGUCAGCUCCUUCCGUCGAGCUCUUCGUCAGACAGCCCUUCACACUAAAGCUAAGUUCCUAUCUCUUCUUAUAAAAUUUCAAGUCUCAGUUCUUUUCAAGGCAGCACCUAUUCGGUUUUCAGUUUGAUGUCUGCGUUUGCCUGCGAGCCUUACUGUAUUGUUUGGUGCCUUUGCUUAGCGUUGGGAUCCUAUGAUUCUUGGUUCAACAGUCUAUAAAUUAUGUGGCAUUUUGGUUGUUGAGCAUGGUUUGCUCUAUGAUUUAUCCUAUGUUUUUGGCUAACUACUGUGGUUGCUCUACAUGAUGCAAUAUAAGUAUACGGUGUUGAGGUGAUUACCUCGUUUGGUGAAACCUCCUCGGUCUGUGGUGAUUCUCCUCGCUGCCACCGCCUCGCUCCCUUUUUUUCUCCUUAACCCUUGUUGAAUUUCUUCCUUGUGAUGAAGCUUGUGGUGAUUAAAAUGGUGGAGGGAAAUGGAGGUGGUGAGGGUUCGCUUAUAUAGCCUUGAUUCCUGGCAUUUUGUGCCAGAUUUUUGGGAAAGAAGCCUUCUAAAUUGGGGUUGUUGCUUAGCUUCCUUUCAAGCUUCGUGAUAAGUUUUUCUUGCCAAAUUGGUGUAUAUCUGGGGCUGCUCUCCUCGGUUGUCCUUCCAGCCUUGGUGAUGAAGUUUCUCUUGCUCCAAUGAGCUCGGUGGUGGAGCUUACUUUACUGGGGCCUUUCAUCUUGAUCCCCUUUUGAUGAUACGUGCAACAAAACAGAUUGGCUGACUCUUACAGCCUUGAUUUAGGAUCCUCAAGAUGUCCUAGGCUGACACAAUUUUUUGAGUCUUAUGGUGCCAAAAUCGAGAAGGAAGGAGAUGGAGAAAGGGGAAGAAAAUCUGUCCUUGUGCCACCUUGGUUUCAAUACCAAUUUAGGAUAUUUUCUAGAAUUCUAUUACUAGAGGUGGAAGAAGGGAUGAUGUCGUGUAGACAUGUGAAGUCUCUUUCACAUAUGAAAACUUGUACAACUUGUAUUGUCUUUUUCAUGUAUUAUUAGCAUUUCUAGUAUCCAUGAAAUUGUAUUUCCAACUUGCUUUUCAAAUAAACAUGACUCUUAAUCUUUAUUCUCAAAA